rnacentral:rRNA from 1 species
UACAGAGACUGCAAGCGUUAUUCGGAUUCACUGGGCGUAAAGGGUGCGCAGGCGGCCGGGUGUGUCAGAUGUGAAAUCCCGAGGCUCAACCUCGGAACUGCGUCUGAAACUACUCGGCUAGAGUACUGGAGAGGGAAACGGAAUUCACGGUGUAGCAGUGAAAUGCGUAGAUAUCGUGAGGAACACCAGAGGCGAAGGCGGUUUCCUGGACAGUUACUGACGCUCAGGCACGAAAGCGUGGGGAGCAAAAGGG